UUCUUCUUCACCGUGCCCUCCUUCUGCCUCAGUUGUACCAGGUGUUCCAUUUUCUAAUAAAUGAUACAUCUAGUGCAACAGUGGCCGGUGGAGAAGAACUUCAACACCCCGA
rnacentral:precursor_RNA from 12 species